GUGCCAGCCGCCGCGGUAAUACAGAGGGUGCAAGCGUUGUUCGGAAUUAUUGGGCGUAAAGCGCGUGUAGGCGGCUUGGCAAGUCGGGUGUGAAAUCCCUCAGCUUAACUGAGGAAGUGCGCCCGAAACUGCCGAGCUUGAGUACCGGAGAGGGUGGCGGAAUUCCCCAAGUAGAGGUGAAAUUCGUAGAUAUGGGGAGGAACACCGGUGGCGAAGGCGGCCACCUGGACGGAUACUGACGCUGAGACGCGAAAGCGUGGGGAGCAAACAGGAUUAGAAACCCCCGUAGUCC
rnacentral:rRNA from 1 species